GACGUAGGGCGCGAGCGUUGUCCGGAUUUAUUGGGCGUAAAGAGCUCGUAGGCGGCUUGUUGCGUCGACUGUGAAAACCCGCGGCUUAACCGCGGGCCUGCAGUUGAUACGGGCAGGCUAGAGUUCGGUAGGGGAGACUGGAAUUCCCGGUGUAGCGGUGAAAUGCGUAGAUAUCGGGAGGAAUACCAGUGGCGAAGGCGGCUUUCUGGGCCUGUUCUGACGCUGAGGAGCGAAAGCGUGGGGAGCAAACCGG
rnacentral:rRNA from 1 species